rnacentral:rRNA from 1 species
GUCGAGAAUAAUUCACAAUGGGGGAAACCCUGAUGGUGCAACGCCGCGUGGAGGAUGAAGGUCUUCGGAUUGUAAACUCCUGUCAUGCGUGAACAAGGUUGCUUGGUUAAUACCUGGGCAAAUUGAUGGUAACGCAAGAGGAAGAGACGGCUAACUCUGUGCGAGCAGCCGCGGUAAUACAGAGGUCUCAAGCGUUGUUCGGAAUCACUGGGCGUAAAGGUUGCGUAGGUGGCGGGGUAAGUCAGAUGUGAAAGCCCGGGGCUCAACCUCGGAACUGCAUCCGAUACUGCCAUGCUAGAGUACUGGAGAGGUGACUAGAAUUCUCGGUGUAGCAGUGAAAUGCGUAGAUAUCGAGAGGAAUGCCAAAGGCGUAGGCAGGUCACUGGACAGUUACUGACACUGAGGCACGAAGGCCAGGGGAGCGAACGGGAUUAGAAACCCCUGUAGUCC